CAAAAAUAUAAUAUUUAAGUUUGUGUAUGCAGGAAUGGCCUUGUUGCCCAAAGCUGCAAUCUCCAAGGGAAUGAGCCCUUAUGUGUUUGUCGUUUAUAGAGAAGCCUUUGCAUCACUUGCUCUCUCUCCAUUUGCUUUCUUUGACAGGUGAAUUUCUCCAUGCUUCCCAACCUUCUCGAACACACUAAGAAGUUUCCUAAGCAUAAUUGUUGAUCUCAACCCGGUUGUGAUCAUGCACUCAUUCAUGAGCGAUCUACCCAAACCUUUUCUAGAUUCUCUCUUCAUAAAGAGCCCAGAUAGCCUGGACGAACUCAGAAAACAUGCGGCCAAAUAUAAGGCCAUUGAAGAAAAUAGAUUGAAGAGAGUAAAGCAGCAACCCGACAUCCCGACAUCCCGACA
rnacentral:sRNA from 1 species